GCGGGGCUGGGGGGCGGGGGAAGGAUUAAGCCUAAGACACUCUGAGCCUCGCUGAUCCUGCAGGGAGCUCAGACCUCCCCACCUGGCCAUUCUCUUCCAGACGUGCCUGACAAUACGUUCAUCGACCCUCCCUUCUUUCCUUUACCUGGGCCAGAUCAGGACCCGCACUGCCCUUCCGGUGGUCUGCAGUCACUCACACUAAUCCUUCUGCCUGGAAUACCUUUCCUGUCUUAGACUGGUCUUACCUUUCUCAAGUCUUACCUCCCACUAUUCAAUCCUAAGGUACUUCUAGCAAUUCUAAGCCCUGAUACCUGCCUGAGUCUCUCCAAGCCUGAUGGCCAGAACUAAGACCUCAAGGUUCUCCAAAAGUUCCCAGAGGGGCUCGGUGAGGCAGCAGCAAUAGAAGCACUCCAGGACACUGAGUCUGGGAUGUUGCUGGGAGAUGGGUCAUCGGAUAAAAGGCUGUUUGAAGAGGGGAAUCCGGGCAGCACCCAGUACUUAGGAUACUCCUUAAGGAUUCGGGGCAAAUUUUCAAGCCCUGGCAGAAAAGGGGGAGUUGUCUGAGGCCGAAUGAACCCAAAUAACCAGUUAAGGAAAAAAAGAAAAAAAAAAAAAACAAAAAACAAAGUUA
rnacentral:sRNA from 1 species